GGGAGAGAAAUCGCUCAUCGGAGCCUCAUCAGGGAACGUUGUGGCUCCCGACAGAGUCCUGGCUCCUUCUGGGAUGAAUGGGCUUGUGGCGCUUUCCUGGGAGAGGCUGGAUGAAGUGAAUGGAUGCAGAGAUGGGGAUCUGAGGUCCGGGACCGAAACAACAUGCCUCAGCCAUUUGACAGCGUUUCCUCCUGCACCGGGUUCCAGAUCCUAGAGAAAAGGGCUCAGAAAUGCCUGACAAGCCCUCCCACCAGGCUCAAGGCCCCUCCUCCAAUAAGACUUCUUCCCACAGAAUCACAUCUCUGUUAAGACGGAGAAAGUAAAGCUCAGAGGGGUUAAGUCGCUCAAGGUCAUUCUCCGUGCCAGGUCGGGGAGAAGCUACAGUUUGAACCCGGGAACUCCCAGUUCAGCAUCUCGGCUCUCGGCCAUGAGACGUCCUGCCCUGCGGGUCAGAAAGCGGAUCCUCCUCCUUUUGCCCGAAAGCUCCCCUCACCUUGGCCACCCCACAUGGAAAUAUUCUGCAUCCAGACAGCCAAGAAAAGAGAAGUAAGAAGGAGGGAAGAAAAGAAAAAUGAAGAACGCUUUGUUCCUUGAACCAUUCUCCAUAAACACCGUCCCCGCCAGCACGCCAGACAGAUGCUAUCGACAGAUGGGAACUGGUACACCAGAUUGAAUGCAUUAUACGGGGGAAUUGCCCAUGAUAUAAAGCUGAGUGGAAGGAAGCACAAUGGCUCCCAGAAGGCAGCGGGUCCUUGGCUGAGGGUGGAAAGCAGCCAGAUGGAUCGGGCUCCUGAGACGGAGACUGAACCUCCACAUCAGAGACCGUCCCCACCCUCUACGUCCAGGGAGCCGUGCUGGACCUGCCAAUAUCCUGGGCCUUCGGGCUCAGCUCAGCCACAUCCCUGCGUGGGAUUUUGGAAAGCACUGGAAGCAGACAUCGCCGCACCUAAGCCAUAUCUCUGAUCUUCUGUAGCCAGGGCAGCAGGGUUGCCCGAGACUCUUUCUUCCUGGCAACAGUCCACACCAGCCAGUGCCAGAAAGAGGGAGGAACAAAUCCCCAGCUGCGAGCAUUUCUCAGGUUCCAGCAAGGGCUGAGGCACCGGUUGCUGGCUACUGGCUCACUUUGACAGUGUGGUAAGAUGGAGGGGCAUUUUUCCUACCUCCUCCUUCUACCUGGAUAGAGCUUUACAGUUUGCAAAAUUUAUUAUUAUUGGGAUGCAAUACAAUUUAUUCAGUAUGGUCAUAACAACAAUUACAUUUAUGCCUUUUUUCAACCCAUGUGUCCACGUCUAUAUAUCUACUGCUUUAUCUACUUAUCCUUAUUCAGGUUCUCAGUCUCUGGCUUAUAAAUUAACAGGCAGGAAAACAAACAGUCAUGUGCUAAUAGAGAGGAGGACAAAAGGGCAGUGGUUAUUAAACUUCAGUGUGUGCAAGAAUUACCUGGGAACUUUAUUAAAAAUGUAGAGUGCUGGUGCCAGCACCAGAGCUUUCAACGCAGUAGGUUUAGGUCAAGGCUUGGGAAUCUAGAUGUUAAAAAUGCUACUGAACUGUACACUUUGUCCUGGUUAAUUUUAUGGUAUGUAAAUUCCACCACAAUUAAAAAAAAAAAUCACCCCAGUGAGUCACAUGCCACAGACUAGAACAGUAGGCAAGGCUUCCUGUGAAAGAUGCUCUCUGAAUCUCCAUGGAGAUUUCCAGGUGGGCAAGGCAGGGAAGGGCAUUCCAGGCAGAGGGCACAGCACAGGGAAAGUUUGGAGCAAGAGACAAUAUGGGAAUGUGGAAAACUAUGAGGCUUGAUGGGUGGGGGUGGGGAGGCGUAGGGGCCAGGACCCAGGCGGCCUCACCGGCCAGGCUGAGUUGUUGAGUGUUACCCUGAUGGCCCUGCGUGUCCUUGAAGUGUGUUUGAUAAGGUUGUGCUUAGAAACGAUCACAGGCUGACCCACAGGGACUUGAUCAGGUGGGCAGACACACAAGGCAUAGUAACUAAUUCUAGUGAAAGAAAAGGUCUCAAGUUAAAUAAUGCCGAAAUCCAUAGAGUCAAAGGAGACCACUUCCCUAAACCACCCUGUUUUAGGCCUACAUAUACAUAAUUAAAUUAGCUACAUACGUUAGACCAUGAUAUAUGUGCUCUCUAAAAAUUACUUUUCUCUCUUAAUUCAAAACAAACGUUCCUGCAAUACUGCACCUGUUAAACUGUCUCUUUCUUUUUAAUGGCUGCAUUGUAUUCUAUUAGAUGGAUAUAUUCAGUUGAAAUUGUAGAUAUACCACCAUUUUUGACUUAGAAAAAUAGCCAUUUUGGUUUACUGAACCAUUCCCUUCUUGAUGGGUGAUUAGGUUUUUUUUCCCAAUAUUCUUCCCUGCUAUACUUAACAAUGUUGCAAUGGCCGUCAGUGAGGAUAAGCCUCUAAGCAUCUGUGCAAGUAUUGCUCUAAGGUAGAUUUCUAAAAUGGAAUUGCUGCGUCAAAGGGUGGACAAUAUUUAAAAUUUUGGUGGGUGCUGCUAAGUGUUCUCUAAGAAAAAAAAGUCAUCCAUUUAUACUCCCAGUGAGAGGAAACUAAUACAGGGAGACUGUGUCAAAAACGUUAUCUCUCAACACUCACACAAAGAUACUGCAUAAUAAAUGACCACAAAAUCUCAAGGCAUACAAACAAAAGUAAGUAUUUACUCUUGGGCUCUAUAAAGAUUAUACCCACGGUGUUCAAAAGUGUGUAUUUUGUAACAUCCUCACGAGCAGUGUAUGUUAUCAUUAAAGAAAAAUAUGCUGAUUGGACCAUUUAAAACUGUUCUUGUAAAUUGUAUUUCUUUUACUGUGAGUGAAGUUUAGCUUGUGUUAUGUGCUUAUUUGGUCAUUGCUAUGCCUUCUUUGAUUAAUUUCACAGUUAUA